AAAUGUUAUAUGUACCGAUUCUCAAGUAAUAUAUUUUCAUAUUGCAGGUCUAGAAAUGUUAUGCAAUAAAAGUUUGAAUUCAAAAAAAAAUAAAAGGGAACAAAAACUUUUGCUCAUCAUUUUACUCGGAGAAUGGCUAGAUUCAUUUGAGCGUGUACAGUUUUGUUUAUAAUAAGUGAAGAGAUGAAAAUAAUGAAACUGUAUGGUGCAGAAAGUGUCUUUUUCAUUACAGUUUCUGGUGCUGGGCAUCGGUAGAUCACUAGGGCUUUGUACCGUGAAAUGAAGCUUAUGAUGAAAUACUGGUGCUUGCCGUUCACUGACUCAAGAUCGUUCAGUGGUUAUCAUUGGCCAAUCUCACCAACGGGAUAUAAUAAGAACUGAUCGUUUAUGCACCCGUGGCCAAGUAACAACAAAGCGAGGUAAAAUGAGUGAAAAUUAAGUUUGAACUAAAUUAAAAUUAUAUUAAAAAUAAAAUAAUUUAUAAA